rnacentral:misc_RNA from 1 species
GUAGGUGAACCUGCGGAAGGAUCAUUAACACGUAUCCAACGUAUCCAACCCUGUGGUCCCGUGCGCGGCGAUAUAUGUGAGUAAAGUAACAAUCCAGCGCUGUUCAACCUGCGUGGUUGAAGCGUAACGAAUAUCCAAAGUUUCAUCUCAGAAGUGUACUUGCGAAGUUGCGGUAGGGGCUAGUCCACGAGACCGACCUACCGAUUGUGCCUACCAGGAUCCGCACAGCAGUAUCUGGGCUAGUCCACGAGACUGUCAUACUGUUGUGUGAUGGGCUGGGAUGGUAGCUAGCUGGAAAGAUGAAACUCUGUGGUAUACUGGUAGUACUCGUCUUCUGCGAGAAGACAGCCUCAUAUAGACGACGUUUUAACCAAACCAACUUAACUUAAUUGACUAAUACUGGAGUAAGUAUGGCGCGCCCUGCUUUAUUUCGACAUACGAAACCGUAACAACUCUUAACAACGGAUAUCUUGGUUCUC